UGGUCCCCUGGUUGAGAAAAGACAUUGUUCAGCAGAUUAAACAGGUACAGUUAACGUACGUAGCCUUCCUAGUUUGACUCUAAUUUCGAACUGAAAUCCCAUGGGCUUCCUGUACGCUGAUGAUACAUAUUUCUCCAGAUUGGGUAGUCCCUGUGUGAAGUAUUUUGACAAAACCGUAUCACCAGCAAGCAAAGGAUCCAGGAUCCAAUGUCAGAUACUUUGACCCAAUAGCUGACAUUCAGAGGACAGAGCAAGUUACAGAACGCUUGUUUUCAGCCAGGCAUCACUGCUUCACAUGUACGCACAUCCAAGGGAAUAAAACCUGUAACACCUGUUCUGAGAGAGGUGUGGAGUUAAAUCAUCUGUCUCAAUUCCAUUCACCCAACUUGCAUGUGAAAAGGGAAUAGGAGGAAAUAGAAGAUCUCAACUGACGAAGUACAGUCCAACCUUGUGGUGAAACUGAACACACGUGUGAUUGGAAAUGUGAUAGAGAAAGCCAGGAAGAAAGAGCAUUGGCCACAAUUAGCAUUGAGACAACACACAGUGCUUGGUGGGCUGAUACUAUGAAGCAUAAGAUGUCCCUAAGCAGAUGUCCUGGUGUCCUGAAAUGAUCAG